rnacentral:rRNA from 1 species
AACGAACGCUGGCGGCGCGCCUAAUACAUGCAAGUCGAGCGAGAAGACGUAGCAAUACGUUUGUAAAGCGGCGAACGGGUGAGGAAUACAUGGGUAACCUACCCUCGAGUGGGGAAGUAACUAGCCGAAAGGUUAGCUAAUACCGCGUACGCUCCUUGGACUUCGGUUCAGGGAGGAAAGCGAUACCGUGGGUAUCGCGCUCUUGGAUGGGCUCAUGUCCUAUCAGCUUGUUGGUGAGGUAACGGCUCACCAAGGCUUCGACGGGUAGCUGGUCUGAGAGGACGAUCAGCCACACUGGCACUGCGACACGGGCCAGACUCCUACGGGAGGCAGCAGUAAGGAAUAUUGCGCAAUGGGCGAAAGCCUGACGCAGCGACGCCGCGUGGGGGAGUG